UCAGACUGAGACAAGACGGCCAUGGAAUGGACGGUGGAGACCUUGAUCUUGCCACCAAGAGAGGCAGCGUUAAGCGCGUUUUCCAUAUUUUGCAUUGCGGAUAAUAGUUGAGAGAUCAAGUUUUGGUCCCCAGACAACACUACCUCGUUACCAAUGGUGAUGAGAAUGAUGUUGCUAGCCGGGUAAUAGGGCAAGACGUUCGAGUUGACCCACUGAGUGGCUGAGUUGGGAUCGGAAGCCAAAGCUGGGAUAUCACCAUUUCCAGCUCCAAUGACGAUGCCAAUCCCAGUAUUGGCAAGAGCCUUAAGAACCGCUGGAUCGGCCCCGUAGAGCCUCACUUUCUGUAUAGCCGUCGAUUGCAGAAGUUUAGCGGUGGCCGCCGGUGGUGGUAGGUUGUCAGCAACCAAACCAUAAUUAAUGCCAAUAAACGACUGCGACCUGGCUAACAAGAAGAAAGCUUGGAAGAGGAAAAAGAGCACGAUAAGCCUUGAAAACGCCAUGUUAUCUGUUUCUUUCUUCUUCUUCCUAUUUCUUGAUGGUGCAGACUCCUAGUUCUAGUAAUGUGGAAAAUGGGUUUUUGGGGGUCUGAAAGGACAAAGAAGCCGGGAACUAUGGAAGGGAAUGUGAGGAGAGAGAGAGAGAGAGAGAGAGAG
rnacentral:misc_RNA from 1 species